rnacentral:rRNA from 1 species
CACGUAGGGGGCGAGCGUUGUCCGGAAUCAUUGGGCGUAAAGAGCUCGUAGGCGGCUCAGUAAGUCGGGUGUGAAACCCCCCAGGCUCAACCUGGGGACGCCACCCGAUACUGCUGUGGCUAGAGUCCUGGAGAGGAAGGUGGAAUGCUUGGUGUAGAGGUGAAAUUCGUAGAUAUCAAGCGGAACACCGGUGGCGAAGGCGGCCUUCUGGACAGUGACUGACGCUGAGACGGCGAAAGCGUGGGGAGCAAACAGG